rnacentral:rRNA from 1 species
GGGUUGUGAGGUUAAGCGACUAAGCGUACACGGUGGAUGCCCUGGCAGUCAGAGGCGAUGAAGGACGUGCUAAUCUGCGAUAAGCGUCGGUGAGGUGAUAUGAACCGUUAUAACCGGCGAUUUCCGAAUGGGGAAACCCAGUGUGUUUCGACACACUAUCAUUAACUGAAUCCAUAGGUUAAUGAGGCGAACCGGGGGAACUGAAACAUCUAAGUACCCCGAGGAAAAGAAAUCAACCGAGAUUCCCCCAGUAGCGGCGAGCGAACGGGGAGGAGCCCAGAGCCUGAAUCAGUGUGUGUGUUAGUGGAAGCGUCUGGAAAGGCGCGCGAUACAGGGUGACAGCCCCGUACACAAAAAUGCACACACUGUGAGCUCGAUGAGUAGGGCGGGACACGUGGUAUCCUGUCUGAAUAUGGGGGGACCAUCCUCCAAGGCUAAAUACUCCUGACUGACCGAUAGUGAACCAGUACCGUGAGGGAAAGGCGAAAAGAACCCCGGCGAGGGGAGUGAAAAAGAACCUGAAACCGUGUACGUACAAGCAGUGGGAGC